AAUUUUGGACAAUGGGGGAAACCCUGAUCCAGCCAUCCUGCGUGUAUGAUGAAGGCCUUCGGGUUGUAAAGUACUUUUGGCAGAGAAGAAAAGUUAUCUCCUAAUACGACAUACUGCUGACGUUAUCUGCAGAAUAAGCACCGGCUAACUACGUGCCAGCAGCCGCGGUAAUACGUAGGGUGCAAGCGUUAAUCGGCAUUACUGGGCGUAAAAGGGGUGGUGGGGGGUCGGAAAAGAAGAUGGGGAAACCCAGGGGUCAAACUUGGGAAUGGAUUUUUAAAUGGCGAGCUAGGGGAUGUCGGAGGGGAGGAGAAUUCCACGUGGAGCAGUGGAAAGCGUAGAUAUGUGGAGGAAUACCGAUGGCGAAAGCAGCCCCCUGGGAUAAUACUGACGCUCAGACACGAAAGCGUGGGGAGCAAACA
rnacentral:rRNA from 1 species